rnacentral:rRNA from 1 species
UCCGUAGGGGGCAAGCGUUGUCCGGAUUUAUUGGGCGUAAAGAGCGUGUAGGCGGCCAUGUAGGUCCGUUGUGAAAACUCGAGGCUCAACCUCGAGACGCCGAUGGAAACCAUGUGGCUAGAGUCCGGAAGAGGAGAGUGGAAUUCCUGGUGUAGCGGUGAAAUGCGCAGAUAUCGGGAAGAACACCAGUGGCGAAGGCGGCUGCCUGGCCUGUAACUGACGCUGAGACGCGAAAGCGUGGGGAGCGAACCGG